CCUAAGGUAGCGAAAUUCCUUGUCGGGUAAGUUCCGACCUGCACGAAUGGCGUAACGACUUCCCCACUGUCUCGACCAGGAGCUCGGCGAAAUUGCAGUACGAGUAAAGAUGCUCGUUAAGCGCAGAAGGACGAAAAGACCCCGGGACCUUUACUAUACCUUGGUAUUGGCGUUAGGCGCGGAUUGUGUAGCAUAGGCGGGAGGCUUCGAAGCGGGUGCGCCAGCAUUCGUGGAGCCGCAAGGUGAAAUACCGCUCUGUUCUCGUUUGACGUCUAACCUCGACAAGUCAUCCUUGUCAGGGACAGUGCCUGGCGGGUAGUUCAACUGGGGCGGUUGCCUCCCAAAGAGUAACGGAGGCGCUCAAAGGUCCGCUCAGCCCGGUUGGCAAUCGGGUGUCGAGUGUAAUCGCACAAGCGGGCUUGACUGCGAGGACGACGGUCCGAGCAGGGACGAAAGUCGGAGAUAGUGAUCCGGUGCCGGCGCACGGGCGCGGCAUCGCUCAACGGAUAAAAGGUACCCCGGGGAUAACAGGCUGAUCAUUCCCAAGAGUCCAUAUCGACGGGAUGGUUUGGCACCUCGAUGUCGGCUCGUCGCAUCCUGGGGCUGGAGCAGGUCCCAAGGGUUCGGCUGUUCGCCGAUUAAAGCGGCACGCGAGCUGGGUUCAGAACGUCGUGAGACAGUUUGGUCUCUAUCCUCUGCGCUCGUUGGAAUCCUGAGGAGGCCUGCCCAUAGUACGAGAGGACCUGGGUGGACGAACCUCUGGUAUGCCGGUUGUCGCGCCAGCGGCACGGCCGGUUGGCUACGUUCGGGAGGGAUAACCGCUGAAAGCAUCUAAGCGGGAAGCCUGCUCCAAGAUUAGGAUUCCGUACGGUCUUGAACCGUUGUAGCCCGCAUGUUGAACACGUGUUUGAUAGGCCGGAGGUGGAAGCCCCGUGAGGGGUGGAGCCGACCGGUACUAACGGGCGACGGCGACAUAAC
rnacentral:rRNA from 1 species